GACGAACGCUGGCGGCGCGCUUAACACAUGCAAGUCGAGCGAUGAAAUUUCGACAGAUCCCUUCGGGGUGAAGAUGAAAUGGAUUAGCGGCGGACGGGUGAGUAACACGUGAGUAACCUGCCUUUGACAUUGGGAUAGCCUCGGGAAACUGGGAUUAAUACCAAAUGACACUAACUGAUCACAUGAUCAAUUAGUCAAAGAAAUUCGGUCAAAGAUGGACUCGCGGCUGAUUAGCUAGUUGGUGAGGUAACGGCCCACCCAGGCGACGAUCAGUAGCCGGCCUGAGAGGGUGAUCGGCCACAUUGGAACUGAGACACGGUCCAAACUCCUACGGGAGGCAGCAGUGGGGAAUAUUGCACAAUGGGGGAAACCCUGAUGCAGCGACGCCGCGUGAGCGAAGAAGGCCUUCGGGUCGUAAAGCUCUUUUAUGAGGGAAGAUAAUGACGGUACCUCAAGAAAAAGCCCCGGCUAACUACGU
rnacentral:rRNA from 1 species